rnacentral:rRNA from 1 species
CCUACGGGAGGCAGCAGUGAGGAAUAUUGGUCAAUGGACGGAAGUCUGAACCAGCCAUGCCGCGUGCAGGAUGACGGCUCUAUGAGUUGUAAACUGCUUUUUUACGGGAAUACUAGUUCUUACGUGUAGGGAUUUGAAUGUAUCGUACGAAUAAGGAUCGGCUAACUCGGGGUAAGAAGCCGCAGUAAUACGGAGGAUUCGAGCGUUAUCCGGAUUUAUUGUGUUUGAAGGGUGCGUAGGCUGUCGGAUAAGUUAGAGGGCAAAUGGCGGGGCUUAGCCCCGUGCCUGCCUCGGAUACUGUUCGACUAGAGAGCGAAUGCAGCAGGCGGAAUGAGUAGUGUAGCGGUGAAAUGCUUAGAUAUUACUCAGAACACCGAUGGCGCAGGCAGCUUGCUAAUCCGCAUCUGACGCUGAUGCACGAAAGCGUGGGUAGCGAACAGGAUUAGAUACCCCAGUAGUC